rnacentral:lncRNA from 1 species
GCCGAGACCAGAAGGCCAGCUCCCGAGCUCUGCCAGGUCCGCCACAGUCUAGGGCACUGAUGUCAUAAUGGCAGGAGUCUGUGGGCGGCUGUUAUUGUGCAAGGGGGAAGAUGGACGUCCAGACUGGCAUCCAGCAGGCAGCGGAGCCCCUCCCCGCUUCCCUCCAUCAGCCCGGGACCUGUCAGCACAGUGAGCUAGGGGACAGCCAGACAGGGGGAGACGCCAGGCCCCCUGCUGACGACCACAGCAAGGAGACUCAGCCAGCCGCAGGCCAGCGUGACGACAAAAAGCCCAGUGCAGCGGUGAGAGGACACCCCAGCAGUAAGACAGUCGUAAGCUCAGCAGGCUCCCAGUGGACCAGCGGUGGUCAGGGCCUCUGGAGUGGCUACUCUGUCUCCUACCCCAGCGCUAGCCUGCACUACCCAGCCCACCACCACCCCCAUCACCAUCAACACGCCAACUACGCCUACUGCCAGGGCCAACCCGCAGUGAGUACUCUCCGAAGAAAAUCGUACUGUUUAGUACUGCUCACUCUGAACUCUCAAU